AUUGAACGCUGGCGGAAUGCUUUACACAUGCAAGUCGAACGGCAGCACGGACUUCGGUCUGGUGGAGAGUGGCGAACGGGUGAGUAAUGUAUCGGAACGUGCCCAGUCGUGGGGGAUAACGUAGUGAAAAUUACGCUAAUACCGCAUACGAUCUAUGGAUGAAAGCGGGGGAUCGCAAGACCUCGCGCGAUUGGAGCGGCCGAUAUCAGAUUAGGUAGUUGGUGGGGUAAAGGCCCACCAAGCCAACGAUCUGUAGCUGGUCUGAGAGGACGACCAGCCACACUGGAACUGAGACACGGUCCAGACUCCUACGGGAGGCAGCAGUGGGGAAUUUUGGACAAUGGGCGAAAGCCUGAUCCAGCCAUUCCGCGUGCAGGAUGAAGGCCCUCGGGUUGUAAACUGCUUUUGUACAGAACGAAAGGGUUUCUACUAAUACUAGGAGCUCAUGACGGUACUGUAAGAAUAAGCACCGGCUAACUACGUGCCAGCCGCCGCAGUAA
rnacentral:rRNA from 1 species